CCUACGGGUGGCAGCAGUGAGGAAUAUUGGUCAAUGGGCGCGAGCCUGAACCAGCCAAGUCGCGUGAAGGAUGAAUGCCCUACGGGUUGUAAACUUCUUUUAUAAAGGAAUAAAGUGAGGCACGUGUGCCUUUUUGUAUGUACUUUAUGAAUAAGGAUCGGCUAACUCCGUGCCAGCAGCCGCGGUAAUACGGAGGAUUCGAGCGUUAUCCGGAUUUAUUGGGUUUAAAGGGAGCGUAGGUGGGUUGUUAAGUCAGAUGUGAAAGUCUGCGGCUCAACCCUAAAAUUGCAUUGGAUACUGGCAGUCUUGAGUACAGGUGAGGUAGGCGGAAUGCGUGGUGUAGCGGUGAAAUGCUUAGAUAUCACGAAGAACUCCGAUUGCGAAGGCAGCCUACUGAACUACCACUGACGGUGAUGCUCGAAAGUGUGGGUAUCAAACAGGAUUAGAUACCCUUGUAGUC
rnacentral:rRNA from 1 species